GACGAACGCUGGCGGCGUGCUUAACACAUGCAAGUCGAACGGAAAGGCCCUGCUUUUGUGGGGUGCUCGAGUGGCGAACGGGUGAGUAACACGUGAGUAACAUGCCCUUGACUUUGGGAUAACUUCAGGAAACUGGGGCUAAUACCGGAUAGGAGCUCCUGCUGCAUGGUGGGGGUUGGAAAGUUUCGGCGGUUGGGGAUGGACUCGCGGCUUAUCAGCUUGUUGGUGGGGUAGUGGCUUACCAAGGCUUUGACGGGUAGCCGGACUGAGAGGGUGACCGGCCACAUUGGGAUUGAGGUGCGGCCAGGACUCCUACGGGAGGCAGCAGUGGGGAAUAUUGCACAAUGGGCGGAAGCCGGAUGCAGCAACGCCGCGUGCUGGAUGACGGUCUUCGGGUUGUAACCCGCUUUCGCCUGUGACGAAGCGUGAGUGACGGUAAUGGGUAAAGAAGCACCGGCUAACUACGUG
rnacentral:rRNA from 1 species